rnacentral:lncRNA from 1 species
AGUUGCUCAUAUCCUUGAUCUUAUUCCAAGAUGCUGCCUUUAUCCUAGUUUUAGGUGCCCAGAAUGAACAACAAAGAAGAGCUUCGACUUUCCUGUGCCUUGUUUAUUGCCUCCCCAGAAGCAUCUAAGCAAUCACGCUUGGAGACAGAAUGCCAGGAGACAUAGAAGCCAGGGACUUGUUCCAGGACACAAAAUGUUUAGAGCUGAGGUCGGGAACAUCUGGUCCACCAGAUGCUUUGGCCUUCAAGAUCCCACCAGCCCCAUUUUAGUAGGGCCUAUGGUAAGGAAUUUGAGGAGUUACUGUCCAGAACAACUGCAAACUAAAGAGUUCCCACUCCUUAAGGGAUUCAUCUCCUUUGUUGUUUACCGGACUCAUUAACAACAACAACAACAACAACAACAACAACAACAACAACAACAACAACAACAACAACAACAACAACAACAACAACAACAACAACAACAACAACAAAAGUCUCCCGGUGCAGCCUUGAGAAAACAUGACCAGAAGGAAGCUCUUUGUAAACCACUUCUGAGUACUUUAUACCCAGAAAAUCCUAGGAUGGUCCUUGUAAGUCAAAAUAGACUUAAUUAAUCAUUAUUUUAUGUACAUGGUUGUGUGCUUUUUAAAAAACAUUUUACACACUAUCUAUUUCAUAUUUAGAAGAAAACUGGAGGUUUUCGAGGGUUUGGGUUUGUUUGUUUGUUUGUUUUUUAGUUUAAAGCACAUGAAGGUGCUUUUGUUUUUGACUCACGCUCACUGAAAAGUCGCUCAAACCAGUGCUAGGCUGGCAUUUGUCUUGGCUGGUCCAGGACAGCUUCCCAAAGCAUCAUCAGACAGUUAGCCUGAUCUCCUUCAACAAUGGAAAGCCCCCUCUCCUCCUCUCUC